CAGUCGCCGCGGUAAUACAGAGGGUGCAAGCGUUAAUCAGAAUUACUGGGCGUAAAGCGCGCGUAGGUGGUUUGUUAAGUUGGAUGUGAAAGCCCCGGGCUCAACCUGGGAACUGCAUCCAAAACUGGCAAGCUAGAGUACGGUAGAGGGUGGUGGAAUUUCCUGUGUAGCGGUGAAAUGCGUAGAUAUAGGAAGGAACACCAGUGGCGAAGGCGACCACCUGGACUGAUACUGACACUGAGGUGCGAAAGCGUGGGGAGCGAACAGGAUUAGAUACCCCCGUAGUCCCUGUCUCUUAUAC
rnacentral:rRNA from 1 species